rnacentral:rRNA from 1 species
GAGUUUGAUCCUGGCUCAGGAUAAACGCUGGCGGCGUGCAUGAGACAUGCAAGUCGAACGGGCGAUCGAGGCUUGCCUUGACCGUUAGUGGCGGGACGGCUGAGUAACGCGUAGGUGACCUGCCCCGAAGUGGGGAAUAACUGCCCGAAAGGGUGGCUAAUACCGCAUGUGGUGGUGUGUUCAUUCACACCAGUAAAGCCGCAAGGCGCUUCGGGAGGGGCCUGCGUCCGAUUAGCUCGUUGGUGGGGUAACGGCUCACCAAGGCGACGAUCGGUAGGUGGUCUGAGAGGACGAUCACCCAGACUGGGACUGAGACACGGCCCAGACUCCUACGGGAGGCAGCAGUCGGGAAUUUUGCGCAAUGGACGAAAGUCUGACGCAGCAACGCCGCGUGAGGGAUGAAGGCCUUCGGGUUG